CGACUCUGGUUUCUUCAAAAUGCACAAGUCUUUCGCCUUUUACUAAAGACUCCGUGGGAGAGGGACGCUCAAGAGUUUAAGUUAUUUUGUGGCUAAGGCUGCGCCCUUG